rnacentral:rRNA from 1 species
UACGGGGGGGGGCAAGCGUUGUUCGGAAUUACUGGGCGUAAAGGGCUCGUAGGUGGCCAACUAAGUCAGACGUGAAAUCCCUCGGCUUAACCGAGGGACUGCGUCUGAUACUGGAUGGCUUGAGUUUGGGAGAGGAAUGCGGAAUUCCAGGUGUAGCGGUGAAAUGCGUAGAUAUCUGGAGGAAUACCGGUGGCGAAGGCGGCAUCCUGGACCAUAACUGACGCUGAGGCGCGAAAAGCUAGGGGGAGCAAACGGGG